rnacentral:rRNA from 1 species
GACGAACGCUGGCGGCGUGCUUAACACAUGCAAGUCGAACGGAAAGGCCCUGCUUUUGUGUGGUGCUCGAGUGGCGAACGGGUGAGUAACACGUGAGUAACCUGCCCUUGACUUUGGGAUAACUUCAGGAAACUGGGGCUAAUACCGGAUAGGAGCUCCUGCUGCAUGGUGGGGGUUGGAAAGUUUCGGCGGUUGGGGAUGGACUCGCGGCUUAUCCGCUUGUUGGUGGGGUAGUGGCUUACCAAGGCUUUGACGGGUAGCCGGCCUGGGAGGGUGACCGGCCACAUUGGGACUGAGAUACGGCCCAGACGCCUACGGGAGGCAGCAGGGGGGAAUAUGGCACAAUGGGCGGAAGCCUGAUGCAGCAACGCCGCGUGCGGGAUGACGGCCUUCGGGUUGUAAACAGCUUUCGCCGGUGACGAAGCGUGAGUGACGGUAAUGGGUAAAGAAGCACCGGCUAACUACGUG